rnacentral:rRNA from 1 species
ACCUGCUAGCCGCAGUAUUCUGACUGUGCAAAGGUAGCAUAAUCAUUUGUCCUUUAAUUAAGGGCUAGAAUGAAUGGUUGAACGAGAAAGCUUCUGUCUUUGAAUUUCAUUUGUGGGUGCAAAAGCUUACAUUUUCUUGAAAGACGAUCAGACCCUAUGGAGCUUAUUUGUUGGGGCGACAAAAAUUGAUCCUAAGUGUUAGAUUAAAAGACUAAGUUACCCUAGGGAUAACAGCGUUAUUUUCUUGGAGAGUUCAAAUCGAUAAGAAAGUUUGCGACCUCGAUGUUGGAUCAAAGUUUCUAUAAGGUGUAGCCGCUUUAUAAGAGAGUCUGUUCGACUUUUAAAUCUUU